rnacentral:lncRNA from 1 species
ACAAUGCAGCAAGAUGAAAUGUGACUGACAGUAAAAGGGGGAGAGCAUACACAAACAGAUGAGAGCAUUAAAAUGGAUAGGAAGAAGAGCCACAAAGGAAAGAAAUUUAGUAAAAAAAAAUAAGUAUGCAGCUAAAGAAAAGAGUAGAAUUGUAAAUUAUAGAAAGAACAUACCAAAUAGGAGGAAAAAUGAAGGAAUCUACCACAAGACAAAGAUGGUGUUGCCAAAAAAUAUGAAAGCUAAUACUAUGAGAGGAGACAAAAUAAAAAUGGGAUGAAAAAUGAAAGAGAAUACAAAUGGAAAGUUUUUAUACUCUAGAAAAUUUCUCAUAGCAGAUCAGAUUUGCAGCAUUAUUACUGAUGGAUUAUUAAAUGCAUGGGGACACUAUUCUGUUUCUAAAACUUCUGUAAAAAGUAAGGCAUUAACAGGGAAACUAGAUACAAUUUACUUUUGCAUCUUCCAAUUAGGAAAGAAAUCUCCAAUAAGUACUUCCC